CAAGAGAAGUGCAAGACUCACAAAAGUAUCCUAUCAGUCCUAUGAGUCAGCCAUAUACAGCAUGGAACAGGGCUCCACAAGGACAUGAAUACCAGGUGGCAGGGAUCACUGGGCCAUCUCUCUAAAUCACGAAUGAAACAUUUGCAACCUGUGUCUCCCAAACAUGAUAUGUCUCAAUCAUCAAAGGAUCUACAGUGACUACAAUAACCAAGUGCUACAAAAACGCUGUGACGAGGAAUCUGAACAACAGAGAUUUGAGGGAAACAAAACACUUUCGACGAAGGUCCUGCUGCUUGUCUUCAGCUUGGUACCAAUUAGAGCUUCACUGGAGGUGAAAAGGGCAGACACGGUUGCUGAGUGGCUGGUUGGAGAGUCCCUGAGAGAUUACCCAAGAAACUCAGUUGCGGCACGUGGUGGAGCAGCCUCUCAGAAAAUGGAGUUCUAAGUAUAGUAACAAUUUAGUUACAUAGUUACUUCCAUUUCCAGAGAUGUGAUCCUUUGCUGUGUA
rnacentral:lncRNA from 1 species